ACACGUCCCAUGAAACCCUGCAGUAUAAGCUUGAAGUGUCAUCAUGGGGCAGAACUCCAUUGUCUCAGGGCCAGUGGCGCAAUGGAUAACGCGUCUGACUACGGAUCAGAAGAUUCCAGGUCUUUUGAGUAGGUGGUUGUCCCAGGAAGUGGGUGAGUGCUCCAGCGACAUUUUAAGAGGUUCUAUGAAAAGCACUCUACAUUCACAAGAAGCCCGAAUCUUCACAAGAACCCUGUGAGAAUGUGGUCCAAGAACCUAGGAGAUUCCCCUAGGAGGUGCGUGAGGAUCUCCAACAUGUCUGUGUGAGACCUCAUUUUCUUUAUUCAACCAAGCCACAUAUCACCACAGAAAGCAGAUGAGGAUCCAGUUGUCUUCUAUUAAGCCAGAUAUCAAGGAGAUUUGCAAAAAUAUAGAACAGUGUCACUCUUCUCAUUAAUUCUUUUUG